UACGGAGGGGGUUAGCGUUGUUCGGAAUUACUGGGCGUAAAGCGCACGUAGGCGGAUCAGAAAGUUGGGGGUGAAAUCCCGGGGCUCAACCCCGGAACGGCCUCCAAAACUCCUGGUCUUGAGUUCGAGAGAGGUGAGUGGAAUUCCGAGUGUAGAGGUGAAAUUCGUAGAUAUUCGGAGGAACACCAGUGGCGAAGGCGGCUCACUGGCUCGAUACUGACGCUGAGGUGCGAAAGUGUGGGGAGCAAACAGGAUUAGAUACCCUGGUAGUCCCUGAGCGGGCU
rnacentral:rRNA from 1 species